rnacentral:misc_RNA from 1 species
AAGUCGUAACAAGGUACCGUAGGUGAACCUGCGGUUGGAUCAUUACUAAAUGAUAAAUUUAUAGGCUUGAUGCUUUUACAGCUCGUCUAUAAAUUUUUUCAACCAUUUGUGAAUUUUGUGACUGUAAUUUGGGUCUUACUCUUGGGUAGACUCGAACAUUUUUGUAAACCAUUUUUAUUUUGUAGCCUGAUUUCUAAGUUAAAUGAAUAACAACUUUUGACAACGGAUCUCUUGGCUCUC